rnacentral:lncRNA from 1 species
GUCAUAUUCAAUAUGAUCGUGUGACCCAUAUUCAUUCUCCGAUUAAGAUAGAUCCAAGGGACGAGAGAGGGUCACGUGUUCUCGAACAAACGACCUAGAUUGACACGAAGAGGGUAUUUAAACAUCGCAUUUCAGGGAACCCUAACCCUACCUACACCAGCUCUCGCCAAAGAAGAAGAACCAGACGUAGGAGAAGGAGGUCGACCACCGCCACUGUUGCACCGGAGCCGCCAUUGUUGUCGCACCGGAGCUACCGUCAAUCGCCAAAAAAGGUAAAAUUUUCUCCUUUUUACUCGAAAU